rnacentral:rRNA from 1 species
UACAUAGGGGGCAAGCGUUAUCCGGAAUUAUUGGGUGUAAAGGGUGCGUAGACGGAAGAACAAGUUGGUUGUGAAAUCCCUCGGCUCAACUGAGGAACUGCAACCAAAACUAUUCUCCUUGAGUGUCGGAGAGGAAAGUGGAAUUCCUAGUGUAGCGGUGAAAUGCGUAGAUAUUAGGAGGAACACCAGUGGCGAAGGCGACUUUCUGGACGAUAACUGACGUUGAGGCACGAAAGUGUGGGGAGCAA